rnacentral:lncRNA from 1 species
GCCCUUUUGUUUUCCACGUAAUUAAUAUUGCCAAUAAUUAAGAAGUUCCGGGUCGAGUCCGCUACGAUACCAAUAGUAUAUUCACCUGUUACUAUUACCUUAUCUGUACGUUCCGCAUCUGACAGGCGCACCACCAAACGUUGUAUUCAGGACUAAUAUGCUAUAUACACGGGUCAUAACCACAGGGUUAAUACUACUAAAUUGUCAAAUUG